AGAGUUUGAUCCUGGCUCAGGAUGAACGCUAGCGACAGGCUUAACACAUGCAAGUCGAGGGGCAGCGGGGAGUAGCAAUACUUCGCCGGCGACCGGCGCACGGGUGAGUAACACGUGUGCAACCAACCCCGUACCGGGAGAUAACCCGCGGAAACGUGGACUAACAUCCCAUAAUACUGGAGGAUCGCAUGAUCUUUCAUUUAAAAUUCCGGUGGUACGGGACGGGCACGCGCGACAUUAGGUAGUUGGCGGGGUAACGGCCCACCAAGCCGACGAUGUCUAGGGGUUCUGAGAGGAAGGUCCCCCACACUGGAACUGAGACACGGUCCAGACUCCUACGGGAGGCAGCAGUGAGGAAUAUUGGUCAAUGGGCGAGAGCCUGAACCAGCCAAGUCGCGUGAGGGAAGAAUGGUCCAUGGCCUGUAAACCUCUUUUGUCAAGGAAGAAUAAAUUGCACGUGUGCGAUCUUGCCAGUACUUGACGAAUAAGCAUCGGCUAACUCCGUGCCAGCAGCCGCGGUAAUACGGGGGAUGCGAGCGUUAUCCGGAUUUAUUGGGUUUAAAGGGCGCGUAGGCGGGACGCCAAGUCAGCGGUAAAAGACUGCAGCUAAACUGUAGCACGCCGUUGAAACUGGCGCCCUCGAGACGAGACGAGGGAGGCGGAACAAGUGAAGUAGCGGUGAAAUGCUUAGAUAUCACUUGGAACCCCGAUAGCGAAGGCAGCUUCCCAGGCUCGAUCUGACGCUGAUGCGCGAGAGCGUGGGUAGCGAACAGGAUUAGAUACCCUGGUAGUCCACGCCGUAAACGAUGCUCACUGGAUCUUGGCGAUACACCGCCAGGGUUCAAGCGAAAGUAUUAAGUGAGCCACCUGGGGAGUACGUCGGCAACGAUGAAACUCAAAGGAAUUGACGGGGGCCCGCACAAGCGGAGGAACAUGUG
rnacentral:rRNA from 1 species